rnacentral:rRNA from 1 species
AGACCCGAAACCCGGUGAUCUAGCCAUGGGCAGGUUGAAGGUUGGGUAACACUAACUGGAGGACCGAACCGACUAAUGUUGAAAAAUUAGCGGAUGACCUGUGGCUGGGGGUGAAAGGCCAAUCAAACCGGGAGAUAGCUGGUUCUCCCCGAAAGCUAUUUAGGUAGCGCCUCGUGAAUUCAUCUCCGGGGGUAGAGCACUGUUUCGGCUAGGGGGCCAUCCCGGCUUACCAACCCGAUGCAAACUGCGAAUACCGGAGAAUGUUAUCACGGGAGACACACGGCGGGUGCUAACGUCCGUCGUGAAGAGGGAAACAACCCAGACCGCCAGCUAAGGUCCCAAAGUCAUGGUUAAGUGGGAAACGAUGUGGGAAGGCCCAGACAGCCAGGAUGUUGGCUUAGAAGCAGCCAUCAUUUAAAGAAAGCGUAAUAGCUCACUGGUCGAGUCGGCCUGCGCGGAAGAUGUAACGGGGCUAAACCAUGCACCGAAGCUGCGGCAGCGACACUCAGGUGUUGUUGGGUAGGGGAGCGUUCUGUAAGCCUGCGAAGGUGGCCUGUGAGGGUUGCUGGAGGUAUCAGAAGUGCGAAUGCUGACAUAAGUAACGAUAAAGCGGGUGAAAAGCCCGCUCGCCGGAAGACCAAGGGUUCCUGUC